GGGGGUCUAGGUUAUAAAGACUGUAAGUUUUCAAGACUUAAGGCGCUUUGGCGGCCUUCG
rnacentral:tRNA from 1 species